rnacentral:rRNA from 1 species
ACCCAUAAUCUACCCAGUUUUCGUAUCCAAAACGGAUAUCUGCGUUAAUUUUGGAGCUAAUACGUGCACCAACGUGCUGCUAGCAAUAGUGGCACGCACUUAUUAGAUCAAGGCCGAUUGGGGCAACCCUUUUGGUGACUCUGAAUAAUUUUGCGGAUCGUAUGGUCUUGUACCGACGACGUACUGGUCGAGUGGGUGCCCUAUCAACUAUUGAUGGAAGUCUAUGUGUCUUCCAUGGUUGUAACGGGUAACGGAGAAUAAGGGUUCGACUCCGGAGAGCUAGCCUUAGAAACGGCUAUCACAUCCAAGGAAGGCAGCAGGCGCGUAAAUUACCCACUCUCAAUUCGAGGAGGUAGUGACUAUCAAUAACGAGACAGAUCUCUUUGAGGUCUGUCAUUGCAAUGAGCACAACUUAAAGACUUUAACGAAGUCUAUGGGAGGGCAAGUCUGGUGCCAGCAGCCGCGGUAAUUCCAGCUCCCAACGUGUAUAUCGUCAUUGCUGCGGUUAAAAAGCUCGUAGUUGGAUCUUAGCUCAUGUCGGUAGUUCUCCAUGUGAGAUACUGCUCGGCUGAGCUGUUUCGCCGGUUUUCCGUAGUUUCGGCUGCGGUGACUGGUGUUGUAACUUUGAUUAAAUCAAUGUGAUUAAAACAGGCGUUUGCUUGAAUGCUUUAUCAUGGAAUAAUAGAAUAUGACUUCGGUCCAUUCUGUUGGUCUUGGGAUCGAAGUAAUGAUUAAAAGGAACAACUCGGGGGCAUCCGUAUCGCUGCGUGAGAGGU